rnacentral:rRNA from 1 species
CAGAGGGUGCAAACGUUGUUCGGAAUUACUGGGCGUAAAGCACGUGUAGGCGGCCCUGCAAGUCGGGUGUGAAAUCCCAUGGCUCAACCAUGGAAGUGCACUCGAAACUGCAGGGCUAGAGUCCUGGAGAGAAAGGUGGAAUGCUUGGUGUAGAGGUGAAAUUCGUAGAUAUCAAGCGGAACACCGGUGGCGAAGGCGGCCUUCUGGACAGUGACUGACGCUGAGACGCGAAAGCGUGGGGAGCAAACAGGAUUAGAUACCCUGGUAGUCCACGCCGUAAACGAUGAGUGCCAGGUGUCACGGGCUUUGACCCUCGUGGUGCCGAAGCUAACGCGUUAAGCACUCCGCCUGGGGAGUACGGUCGCAAGACUA